ensembl:lncRNA
CAUGGAGCUACAUUUAAAGGGCUGUGGGACAAUUUUGAAAGGGCCCAAUGAAUAAAUUAAUUGCUUCAUAAAAAAACAAAGUGUAACCUCAGACAGCUGUGAACAAGUGUCACAGUUAAGUCUCAGGGUCUUGCUUUUCUUUAAGGAAAAAGAAGUGGGGGGGGUGAAAAAAAAAAAGCCCACUGAGGUUAUCUGCUGAAUAAAAGUUGCUCCACGCAUAAGGGGUUCUUUGGGGGCCAGAACUGGAGAACUCUGCUGAAGGACUAUGUAAAAAGCUUCCUUGCAGUGUGUGCCUCAUUGUGCUGGCUUCACAUACUCUGCUCUCCCCACAGAGUUGUCAUGCCUACCCAGCUCCCCUUAUCUCAAAGGAACAUCACAGUUUCUUACGACCGAAGAGCGAGAGAGAAAGAGAGGGGGGGGGAAACUUUUUCAAAGUUAAGUGGAAAUGCAACUCAUGCCUUCCCGGCAUCACUCGUGAAACGUCCAACAGCGAGGAAACCAAUAAAUUCGCAAAGAUUUGAGCUAAGAGGCACUUGUUUUCUUCAAAAGUUGAUAAGAGAGAGGAUGAUGGGGGGGGGGGGGGGGGGGGGUAUCCUUUACGACAAUUCACAUCCACCAUGCGCUCGCGAGUUUCCUAACAAUGAAAGAGGUGCAAAACAAACAACAUAAGAACAAACAAACAAACAAACAGCGCCAAACGGUCUUUGAACCGGUUGAUAAACGCAAUCUCUGUGAUGUGGACUCACGCUUCUUUCCGCUUUAAGUCCAGAAAACAACAAGCAAGUUAACUGCGUUCAUCUUUCGGGCUUCAAAACCCCCUUUUCCCCCCUCUCUCUGUCCGUCUCUGUGUCUCUGCGACGUGCGUCAUUCAGAGAAGCAAGAAAUCUGAACUUGAGUAUCAAGUUUGCAGUCAGAAUAGCAAUGAAAAAAAAAAGUUAUCAAUGAAAAUAACCAAGAGGUAAGCGUGCAGUUUUACAAGAGUUACCCUGUGCUGACACAAAAAAUAAAUAAAUCACUCCAAGUCACUGGCUUCUAGGAAAUCGGUGUCAUUUAACGUGACUUGACGCGACAUACGUAAAUAAAUAAAAUCAAGAAACAAAACUUUGAGAAAGGAGAAUACACAAACCUACUUGAGGCGACUAAGUCACUCCACGUCCCCUUGUUGCUGGCUUCAAACUCAGUCUUAAAAUCAGAGCGGUUCCCCCAGUAGCCCCCCAAUUUGUAUUUGUGUGGCGUUUGGGUGUCCUAACCUAAAUGUAAAUUGCCAUGUGAAUUCAAAGCGGUGCUGCUCUUUUCCCUCUCUCUCAUUCAGCAGAUCCCUCUUUCCUUACCGACGCCGCUCAGGCCGUUAGUUACAUAAGACGCAAACCGACUGCUGCCCGUCGUAAAACUACCAACAGCUAACAGAGCGAUAUUUCGCCUCCUAAUCGCACACGGCUUCCCUUUUAAGACGAACACGUUACAUCUUCCCACUUGUCCGAGAGCAUGCAUUUCGCCGUGUACAACUCCAAAGCGUUCAUCGCCGAUGCAUUUUUUUGCUUUCCCUCACUCUCUCUCUCUUCUUCUUUUGCCGUUUACAAUGCCUCUGCACCAACAGAGAGGGCUGUAUGCAUGGUGUGCAUUUGUGCUGGAAGUGUUUCUUUU